GAAAAUAGAAUUAGAGAAUUAAACAAAAAAUAAAUCACGGUUUUCAUACGUGACUCUGGACCACAAAACCAGUCAUAAGUAGCAUGGGUAUAUUUGUAGCAAUAGCCAACAAUACAUUGAUUGGGUCAAAAUUAUCGAUUUUGUUUUAUUCCAAAAAUCAUUAGGAUAUUAAAGUAAAGACCAUGUUCCGUGAAGAUAUUUUGUAAAUUUAUAAAUAUAUCAAAACAUAAUUUUUGAUUAGUGAUAUGCAUUGCUAAGAACUUCUUUUGGACAACUUUAAAAGCGAUUUUCUCAAUAUUUAGAUUUUUUUUUUUUUUUUUUGCACCCUCAGAUUCAGCAAAAUCUCCAGUGUUGAAAUCCUCGUGUUAAGGACUUUUAGAGUAAAGUGUUAAAGUUGUGGUGUUGAACUCGUGCUACAGGCUGCAGCGAGGACCUCUUGGAACACUCCGUCGAGUGUUAUUAGUCACAUCCGGGACAUUUGCUAGUGUGCGCGCCUGACCCAUCUGGAAUAUUUUCGACAGACGCCAUUUUCUCAGCAUAUGAGGACGGAAAACAGCUAAAUUAAGUGUUUAAUCUUACUCACAAUAACUGUUUUGUAAUAUCAUAUCGUUUUAUAGCGAUAUUUAUGAGGUAUGUGUGCCUAAACGUUUUUUAAAACAUUUUCUUCCACUCGCGUGAGGCGGACAAGACAAGGAAGUUUCUUUUUAAAAGGAAAACGCCGAAAGUUAAGUGUUAUAUCUCAUUUAUCAUACGUAUUUCACAACAUCAUACUGAUUUAUAGUGAUUUGUGUGAUGUGCACUCCUAAACUUUUUCUCAGAAAGAUAUUUUCCUUCACUCAUGAUGCGGAGAAGACGGGGAAAUUGGUUUUAUCGAGGAAAACACCGAAAAUGCAUUUGAACGGCUAUGCAUUGACACGGAAGUCGCUUUUAACAGGGCAAACAUAAGUAAGAGACUAUUUUUUUCACUCGUGAUCAGAAGCAAACACCGAAAGUUGUUCAUGCUGGCUUAACAGAAAAAUCAAAAGAUGAUGUGCUUGAAGAGUUUGAAGCCACCAAUAUAUUAAGUGGGAUGAGAAGAGCUUUGUUAGGACACAUACCGAAGACAUGGGAGCACUUUUGUGAUGCUGCAAGUGGGAGUUGGGUAUCUUGCUUGAGAUGAAACAUCUCGUUUUUGCUGAAACUACUCUUUACAAGGAAGUCCAAACACCAGUAGCAGAGACUUUGUUCAGUGAGCAUUAACAUGCAUUCUGCCUGGAUGCUAAUGAAUGGGAUGCUGUUGUUUAAGCUGAUAAAUGUAAGCAUUAUAAACAUUAAGAGAUUAAACUUAUGACAUUAAGUGUACAUAUGGACCAAAUAAGAAUAUGUAUUUUGUGCCUUUGCACUGAUUUGCUUUGACAUUAUGAUGCUUUAAUUGUUGUAAGAACAUGUUCUUUACAUGCAUUGAAAACAUGCAUUUGGUGCAGGGAAAAAGAUUUACAAUGUUUCAAUUAAAAAUCAAUAGUUGUAAAUGUGUAUUGUUUUGUGGGUUUAUUUUUUAAUAUUUUACCUGAACAUUGGUGCAGUGUUCACCAGUUGAGGGAGUUAAAUUCACUCUUUAAAAUUUGCAGUGUAGGUAUAUGUUUUAAUCUGCGUUACCAUUUUAAAAUAAGUAUUUACAAUAUUUACAUUAAAUCAACACGCUGGGUGUGUAGGAUUAAUCACCAUAAAGUGUUAAAUGUGUAUACUUGCGAGUAAUAAUUUCUUAACACCCUGAGUGAUUAAAAUUAAACGCUAACACAGUGUUUGUAUAAUAAACACUUCCGUCAGUGUUGUUUUAACACUAGCAAAGAUGGACCUGUAUGUUCACCCGGAAAGUGAUAAUUUUAACACCCAUGGUGACAAAUCUCCCAACAUAUUUUUGCUGUGCAGAUUUUCAAAUAGUUGUAUCUCAGCCAAAUAUUGUCCUAUUCUAACAAACCAUACGUCUAUGGAAAGUUUGUUUAUUCAGCUCAGUUUUAAAAAAAUGUACCCUUAUGACUGGUUUUGUGGUCCAGGGUCACAUAUUAUUUAUAAUAAUAAGCAAUGUUUCUUGAGCCCCAAGAAUCAUGUGACACUGCAAACUGGAGUAAUGGCUGCUGAAAAUUCAGUUUUGCCAUCACAGGAAUAAAUUACAUUUAACAAUAUUAAAAUACAAAACAGUUGUUUGAAAUUGUAAUAGUAUUUUACAAUAUUACUGUUUUUACUGUAUUUUUGACCAAAUAAAUGCAGCCUUGGUGAGCAUAAGAGACUUCUUUCAAAAAGAUUAUAUUACAUAGCCAGCAUUGUUGAUGUGCUGUGUU